GACGAACGCUGGCGGCGUGCUUAACACAUGCAAGUCGAACGAAGAGCGAUGGACGCUUGCUUCUAUCAAUCUUAGUGGCGGACGGGUGAGUAACGCGUAAUCAACCUGCCCUUCAGAGGGGGACAACAGUUGGAAACGACUGCUAAUACCGCAUACGAUCUAAUCUCGGCAUCGAGGAUAGAUGAAAGGUGGCCUCUACAUGUAAGCUAUCACUGAAGGAGGGGAUUGCGUCUGAUUAGCAAGUUGGAGGGGUAACGGCCCACCAAGGCGAUGAUCAGGAGCAGGUCUGAGAGGAUGAACGGCCACAUUGGGACUGUGACACGGCCCAGACGCCUACGGGAGGCAGCAGUGGGGAAUCUUCCGCAAUGGACGAAAGUCUGACGGAGCAACGCCGCGUGAGUGAUGACGGCCUUCGGGUUGUAAAGCUCUGUUAAUCGGGACGAAAGGCCUUCUUGCGAAUAGUGAGAAGGAUUGACGGUACCGGAAUAGAAAGCCACGGCUAACUACGUG
rnacentral:rRNA from 1 species